GCGGGUGUACAUGUAGAGUAAUGCAACCUAACAAAGCUGAUGCAGUGAAUUUUCAUAGAACCCAAGUAUAUACAUACAAACAUUUCUAAAUGAAUUUAUGUGCUGGGGAGAAGACUCAAUGAAGAGCAGAAGAGGAAGAGGAAUUCUUUGUCAUGUGGGUGUACAUGUAGAGUAACACGACCCAACAUUAACAUAAUAUAAAUUAAACUGGAUAUUCCAAAAUAUAUUUGAUACCAAUUAUAUACACUGUCCAAAUGAAUUAAUAGAGUAAAGAAAGUGAAGUAAGUUCCCCCACCAGUAUUUUAUCAAAUUUAUUUAAAUUUUAACCAAACCUAACCUAAUCUCUUCAAGACUAAAAUAAUACUUAAUUUACUGUGUGUCCGUUGUUAGCGUAACUUAUAGGAGACACUGUACAUCAGUUAUGAAUGAAUGUAUAUUAAGAGCACAGUAACAUUCAGAAGACAAAUCCAAAAUCAUUCCUAAGAACCCUUCACUGUUACAGGGCACACAAGAAAACCCGGAGUAUUGUGGAACGAGGAAUAGGCCAACUGAAACGUUGGUUCCAUGUCCUCCAUGGUGAAGUCCGGCUCAACCCUGAAAAAACCUGCCAAGUGAUCCUUGCCUGUGCUCUGCUUCACAACAUAUGCAAGAAGAGGAAUAUUCAGCUGCCAGAUGAAAAUGUCGCAGAUGCGGAUGACAAUAUGGAGGUUGAAGAUGAACAUCAAGAAGUGCAGUUGCCACAGGAUGCAGCAAAUGGAACACGUUUCAGGGAGGUGUUCUGCAACCACCAUUUCCAUGCCGAGCCAUGAAUCCAUAUCAGCCUGUACAAGUUGACACAUCUUCAAGCAACACGUCAACCAUGCAUGGGGC